rnacentral:tRNA from 1 species
UCCCUGGUGGCUUAGGUGGUAAAGCAUCUGCCUGCAAUGCGGGAGGCCUGGGCUCGAUCCCUGGAUCGGGAA